GAAUUCGAUUCAGGCCUAACACAUGCAAGUAGAAAAGCAGCACGGGUGCUUGCACCUGGUGGCGAGUGGCGAACGGGUGAGUAAUAUAUCGGAACGUACCUUAUUGUGGGGGAUAACGCAGCGAAAGCUGUGCUAAUACCGCAUAAUCCCUAAGGGGGAAAGCGGGGGACCGUAAGGCCUCGCGCAAUUAGAGCGGCCGAUACCUGAUUAGCUAGUUGGUGAGGUAAAGGCUCACCAAGGCAACGAUCAGUAGCUGGUCUGAGAGAAAGAUCAGCCACACUGGGAGGGAGACACGGCCCAGACUCCUACGGGAGGCAGCAGUGGGGAAUUUUGGACAAUGGGGGCAACCCUGAUCCAGCAAGGCCGCGUGAGUGAAGAAGGCCUUCGGGUUGUAAAGUCUAUUGUGUCAGGGAAGAAACAGCAGCUCUAACACAGUUUGCGAAUGAC
rnacentral:rRNA from 1 species